rnacentral:rRNA from 1 species
CUACGUGCCAGCAGCCGCGGUAAUACGUAGGGCGCGAGCGUUGUCCGGAAUUAUUGGGCGUAAAGAGCUUGUAGGCGGUUUGUCGCGUCUGCUGUGAAAGGCCGGAGCUUAACUCCGUGUAUUGCAGUGGGUACGGGCAGACUAGAGUGCAGUAGGGGAGACUGGAAUUCCUGGUGUAGCGGUGGAAUGCGCAGAUAUCAGGAGGAACACCGAUGGCGAAGGCAGGUCUCUGGGCUGUAACUGACGCUGAGAAGCGAAAGCAUGGGGAGCGAACAGGAUUAGAUACCCUGGUAGUCCAUGCCGUAAACGUUGGGCACUAGGUGUGGGGGACAUUCCACGUUUUCCGCGCCGUAGCUAACGCAUUAAGUGCCCCGCCUGGGGAGUACGGCCGCAAGGCUAAAACUCAAAGGAAUUGACGGGGGCCCGCACAAGCGGCGGAGCAUGCGGAUUAAUUCGAUGCAACGCGAAGAACCUUACCAAGGCUUGACAUGC